GUGACCUCAAAUCAGGUAGGACUACCCGCUGAACUUAAGCAUAUCAAUAAGCGGAGGAAAAGAAACUAACAAGGAUUCCCCUAGUAACUGCGAGUGAAGCGGGAAAAGCUCAAAUUUAAAAUCUGGCAGUCUCUGGCUGUCCGAGUUGUAAUCUAGAGAAGCGUUAUCCGCGCUGGACCGUGUACAAGUCUCCUGGAAUGGAGCGUCAUAGAGGGUGAGAAUCCCGUCUUUGACACGGACUGCCAGGGCUUUGUGAUGCGCUCUCAAAGAGUCGAGUUGUUUGGGAAUGCAGCUCAAAAUGGGUGGUAAAUUCCAUCUAAAGCUAAAUAUUGGCGAGAGACCGAUAGCGAACAAGUACCGUGAGGGAAAGAUGAAAAGAACUUUGGAAAGAGAGUUAAACAGUACGUGAAAUUGCUGAAAGGGAAACGCUUGAAGUCAGUCGCGUUGGCCAGGGAUCAACCUUGCUUUUGCUUGGUGUACUUUCUGGUUGACGGGUCAGCAUCAAUUUUGACUAUUGGAAAAAGGUCAGGGGAAUGUGGCAUCUUCGGAUGUGUUAUAGCCCUUGGUUGCAUACAAUGGUUGGGAUUGAGGAACUCAGCACGCCGCAAGGCCGGGUUUUUAACCACGUACGUGCUUAGGAUGCUGGCGUAAUGGCUUUAAUCGACCCGUCUUGAAACACGGACCAAGGAGUCUAACAUGCCUGCGAGUGUUUGGGUGGAAAACCCGAGCGCGUAAUGAAAGUGAAAGUUGAGAUCCCUGUCGUGGGGAGCAUCGACGCCCGGACCAGACCUUUUGUGACGGUUCCGCGGUAGAGCAUGUAUGUUGGGACCCGAAAGAUGGUGAACUAUGCCUGAAUAGGGUGAAGCCAGAGGAAACUCUGGUGGAGGCUCGUAGCGAUUCUGACGUGCAAAUCGAUCGUCAAAUUUGGGUAUAGGGGCGAAAGACUAAUCGAACCAUCUAGUAGCUGGUUCCUGCCGA
rnacentral:rRNA from 1 species